UGGGGAAUAUUGCACAAUGGGGGAAACCCUGAUGCAGCGACGCCGCGUGAGCGAAGAAGUAUUUCGGUAUGUAAAGCUCUAUCAGCAGGGAAGAAAAUGACGGUACCUGAGUAAGAAGCUCCGGCUAAAUACGUGCC
rnacentral:rRNA from 1 species